ensembl:lncRNA
GAAAUUUUUGUGUGAUACGAGGGCGUGAUGAUAGAUGACCGCAAUCUUAAACAUGCUUUAAUUCUUUUAGGGAAACGCAUGUGGGCGCCAUGUUUGUGAAAGCUCGUGUGUUUGGUUGAGAUUAUGGGAAGAUAUACUCCCUCGGCUCAUGAACCAUCAGCCUACCACAUCCAAAAGCAGGAAAUCACUCUGAAUCAACUGGCUAAACCCAAGAAUCAAGUCCUAUAUCAAGUCUGGACAGUAGGGAGCCAUGAAUCGAUCCUGAUAUUAGCCCUGAGUCGAUGGUUAUAAGCUGUGAAUCAACUCUCUGCUUGUUCGUGAGUCGAUUGUGUGAACCAUGAAUCUCCCCGGAGCAAGAGCUCGGCUGGCUGCCUCAGGGCCAAAACCUUCUCGUCCCAGUAAGCCAAGGCAAGAGUUAUAGGACGUGACAGAGAGCGGGAGAGAAAGGUAUGAAGCGUUGAAUAUUUUGGCAGGUCGUCUAGAGGUGGAAUGGACGAUUCUGUUCACGUACGCUUCUCUCUCUUAUUCCUCACUCCACGCUUCAUUCCUACUCUUGGCAGUCUCACCCUGGCCUGUCCAUCAGCAUGUUGCUGUGGCGAUGGGUGGUGAUAAACCUCGUUGGGUUUCCUCCGUGCUCAGGCAAUAAAACAGAAUUAAAAUAUUAAAUCUGUCCACCGACCCCCCUUGUAAAUAAAGCCAUAAAUUGCCACUCGUCUCAUAAAUGGAAGAGAGACAGAAGAUGGAGGUUUAUGGGGAGGUGGUGCCGAUAUGGCAGUUUCGCACCCUGAUGGCCAUCACUCCUUUCUACAUCUCCUUUUCAUUUCUCCAGCAACUCUUGGCCGACAAGAUGCUAACGGGUGAAGGUCAUAGCGUUGUGUCAUAUGCAUUAUUAACAGUCUGUAGAGAGCUUUGCUUGUUCUCACUGUGACUGUAUGAUCUACAUAACAUUGCUACAGUACAUUAAAAUGUUUCAUAUGGUAUAUCUGACUUGGUGUUCUGUAAACAUUCCUGUUCCC